GACAUGGGUGGUAUAGUGGUAGCACGCGUCCUCGUUAUGGAUGAAACACAGGUUCAACUCCUGUCUGAGGUCG